rnacentral:tRNA from 1 species
CAGGACAUAACUUAACCCAAAGUCUUUCGCUUACACCGAAGUUAUAUUUGUGAAAAUCAAAUUGCCCUG